UACGUAGGAUGCAAGCGUUGUCCGGAUUUACUGGGCGUAAAGGGCGCGCAGGCGGCACUACAAGUACGAUGUGAAAUCUCCCUGCUCAACGGGGAGGGUGCAUAGUAGACUGUAGAGCUAGAGAACGGUAGAGGGGGGUAGAAUUGCUGGUGUAGCGGUGAAAUGCGCAGAUAUCAGGAGGAACACCGGUGGCGAAGGCGGAUCUCUGGGCCAUUACUGACGCUGAGGAGCGAAAGCGUGGGGAGCGAACAGG
rnacentral:rRNA from 1 species